rnacentral:rRNA from 1 species
UGGGGAAUAUUGCGCAAUGGGCGAAAGCCUGACGCAGCCACGCCGCGUGAGCGAUGAAGGUCUUCGGAUCGUAAAGCUCUGUGGGGAGAGAAGAAUCAAGCCGGUGAAGAGCCGGCCCUGACGGUAUCUCCUUAGCAAGCACCGGCUAACUCCGUGCCAGCAGCCGCGGUAAUACGGAGGGUGCAAACGUUGCUCGGAAUCAUUGGGCGUAAAGCGCACGUAGGCGGUGUCAUAAGUUGGAUGUGAAAGCCCUGGGCUCAACCCAGGAAGUGCAUUCAAAACUGUGAGACUUGAGUUCCGGAGGGGCCCAGAGAAUUCCCGGUGUAGAGGUGAAAUUCGUAGAUAUCGGGAGGAAUACCAGUGGCGAAGGCGCUGGGCUGGACGGACACUGACGCUGAGGUGCGAAAGCGUGGGGAGCAAACAGG